AGCCCAGGGGCUGAGGCCAGGCUAGUAGUUCCCUGCCAGCUGUUAAAGAAGAAGGAGCUCUCUUACGGAAGGAGUAGAGUAUUUCCUGUUAUCUUUCAGACAAAAAUGGAUACAUUAAAAAUCCUUAGUCAUAUGGAAACUGCUUAAGCAUAUCACAACGGAGAUGCAAAAGGUGGAAACAAAGAAAGGGAAGCAAUUUAUGUGGUUCUUUGCAAGGAGACCUCGCCAUCCUUACCAUCAUGGCUUAUGACCGAUUAUAUUGCCAUCUACAAACCACUGCACUAUGAGACAGUGAUGAACAGGAGAGCUUGUCUGCAAAUGGCAGCCACUGCCUGGAGUGCUGCUAUUCUGUACUCUGCUCUGAACACUGGUAACACUUUUAGGCUGCCCUUCUGCCACUCCAACAUCAUCAACCACUUCUUCUGUGAAGUCCACCAGCUCCUUAGGAUCUCUUGCUCAGAGUUCUGUCCUCAACUUUUGUGAACCUCUUCCACCGGCUAGUACCCCUCAUUCUCUGCUUGAAAACCACACUGCUUCUUUCAAAAGCCAUAUAGUCACCCAGCGGAGUCCACCCUGCUCCUGAAAGGUUCUGCCUGCACUUGGACCCAGUGGCCAUCUUGCUUUAGGUUCUGCUGCUUGUGAGUAUGCUUCUGUCGGCACCACUGGAGUAAAGACAGAAGAGACACCAAGAUGAAGUGGAAGGAAGGAGGAGGGAACAUCAGAACCAUGUAAGCAGGAAACAAGGGGAAGGGACCUCUGCCAUGGAAAGGAGGCACUGGCAAAUACACAAAUGUACAUCUUGAACCAACUCACCUCACAAUGGAGUACUAAGGCACAUACUGGACAGCCCAGAGGUCAUACGUGUGAGGCCAUAGCAGAAGCGUUCAUGGUGCCACUGUGUCAGAUUCCAGUGAAUUUAGCAAAUUCUGCUAAAUACCUUGUCACAAGGACACAAAAGAAGAGAAGGACCUCACUUUGAAGGUGGAUAAAUGAAAAACAAAAGGAAAUUGUUGUGAGCUAACAUCACAAGAAUCUACUAUCUGCCAUGUCUGCAUUCAAACAUACAGAUCUCAGACCAGCUUCCUCAGUCAUCUACAGAUUCACUAAUGACGUCCCUAUUUACUGGAGUCUGUUGCUGUUGUAUUGAGGGACUGCCAAUGACUGUGAAGACUGAUAAAAGGGGAAAAAAUCUUCUCUAUAAAAAGACAAAAAUGACUCAUUCAAGCUGAAUGGGGAUGAUUCAUUUUUUCAAAAAUCUUGUGCAAUGGGUAAUAAAUUUUAUCUAUUUACUUCAAAAUAAUAAAAUACAACAGCUAUGCUUCAUAAUUUCUAAACCGUCUUACCUGAAAAAGCCAGUUUAUAUUUGAAGAAGUAUUUAAAAAGGGAAUGUGUAAAAACUUUCAAAUUAUUCUCCUUUAAAUUUCUAAAUUUCCUCUUACAUAAGUGGAUGUUACCUCAUUUUCGAAGAACUUUUCCCAUAAGGAAUACUAAAGAUGCUAAGGAAGGAUGUCUUAGAUUGACCGAUCUGUCUGUCUACCUACCUGUCUUGGGUUUUAACAUGACCCCUGUUGCCACAAUAUGUGAGGUAAGGAAGUCACUCGUUUACUGUGGCAUGGAGAAACUAAAUGAUUUGUCUAAGGUGACAUAGGUCAUCUGUAGCAGAUCAGAGAACUGAAUGCCACUUCUCCAGUAAGUUCCAUGCAUGACCACUUUAAUUUAAUCCUCUUUCAUUUAUUUUUUGUUGAAUUAGGGCAAUUACAAUUUUAGAGUUGAAUUGUGGUAGGUUUUUUCUUUCUUUCUGUUUGUUUAAGACACAGCUUAUUUGAAAGGUACCAGAUCCUCUGGUGCAAACCAAAGUAAUUCUUUUGAUUUCAAGGGAAUGAUAUGGUUUUUCUCCACCCUCAGAAGACCUGGCCUUUUUUACACAAGUAUUAAAUUGCCUGAUUAUACCUAUGUAAGCAAAACUCAUUACAAUGAUGGCUAAUUCUUGUGUGAGGCUAUAUCAGCGCUACAGUUUGGUGUGAAGAUUGAUCUAAACUAAACCAGUUUCUCAUUCAGAGUGAAUAUAAAUAUCUAUCAAUAUGAUGAUAAGCUACUGAGGCCAAAUGUAAUAUUUUUACUGUGAAUUUUAAGAAGCAAAGUGUAAUAUUCAAUUCAGUCAUUUCAGUGAUGGAAUGUAUACUUCUGUGUACUAUUCACAGCAUAACUGUAACUAAGAGAAGAGAAUCAACUUGAACAAUGUCAUAGGAUAAUGAUCUCCUGUGCCUAGAUAAAUGUCUCCACAGUUAGCAUAAAUAAAUGUCAAGCUGAAGCAGAAAGCAUUGAUCUUAGGGAAAAGUCCUAUUCCAAUGGCUCAAUUGUAACUGUGACAAAUGAUCUGUGUAAAUGUAAUCACUUUGUCUUAUGACAUCUUAUCGCUGAAUUUGGGUGACAGCUUUUCCAUCACACCAUUGCCAAUCUGAUGGUUUUGAACUGACUUUGAGACACCGUACAUUGUUCUGUGUUUUAAUCAUUCAGAGUUGACAGUCAUUCAGAGUUGUAAUCAUUCAGAGUUGACAAUCUUCAUUAAGUUAUAUAUACUUGAUUAAUCAUAAAUUUACCUUCAAUUGCCCUUUUGCAAAUAAAGAAAAUUACUUUUUA